rnacentral:rRNA from 1 species
UACGUAGGUGGCAAGCGUUGUCCGGAAUUAUUGGGCGUAAAGCGCGCGCAGGCGGUCCCUUAAGUCUGAUGUGAAAGCCCACGGCUCAACCGUGGAGGGUCAUUGGAAACUGGGGGACUUGAGUACAGAAGAGGAAAGCGGAAUUCCACGUGUAGCGGUGAAAUGCGUAGAGAUGUGGAGGAACACCAGUGGCGAAGGCGGCUUUCUGGUCUGUAACUGACGCUGAGGCGCGAAAGCGUGGGGAGCAACAGG